AUGCAUUUCAUUAUUCUCUU
rnacentral:snRNA from 1 species